CCCGUCCAGCCACUGGAGACGGACACACAGGACAGGGGACUUCUGGAUGCUAACGACUUAGCUUCAGCUGCAGGUCAGCAGACGUUUAUGGCAAAGAAGAAGUGGCUCCUCCUGUACAACCAACCAGAAUGCAGCAAGUGGUUUCAGGAUGGUAAGUCAACAAC